rnacentral:rRNA from 1 species
UACGAAGGGGGCUAGCGUUGUCCGGAAUCAUUGGGCGUAAAGCGCGUGUAGGCGGCCCGGUAAGUCCGCUGUGAAAGUCGGGGGCUCAACCCUCGAGACGCCGGUGGAAACCAUCUAGCUAGAGUCCGGAAGAGGAGAGUGGAAUUCCUGGUGUAGCGGUGAAAUGCGCAGAUAUCAGGAAGAACACCCGUGGCGAAGGCGGCUCU